rnacentral:rRNA from 1 species
ACCCGCUGAACUUAAGCAUAUCAAUAAGCGGAGGAAAAGAAACCAACAGGGAUUGCCCUAGUAACGGCGAGUGAAGCGGCAACAGCUCAAAUUUGAAAUCUGGCGUCUUUGGCGUCCGAGUUGUAAUUUGCAGAGGGCGCUUUGGCAUUGGCAGCGGUCCAAGUUCCUUGGAACAGGACGUCACAGAGGGUGAGAAUCCCGUACGUGGUCGCUAGCCUUUACCGUGUAAAGCCCCUUCGACGAGUCGAGUUGUUUGGGAAUGCAGCUCUAAAUGGGAGGUAAAUUUCUUCUAAAGCUAAAUACUGGCCAGAGACCGAUAGCGCACAAGUAGAGUGAUCGAAAGAUGAAAAGCACUUUGGAAAGAGAGUUAAAAAGCACGUGAAAUUGUUGAAAGGGAAGCGCUUGCAGCCAGACUUGCCUGUAGUUGCUCAUCCGGGUUUUUACCCGGUGCACUCUUCUAUAGGCAGGCCAGCAUCAGUUUGGGCGGUCGGAUAAAGGUCUCUGUCAUGUACCUCUCUUCGGGGAGAACUUAUAGGGGAGACGACAUGCAACCAGCCCGGACUGAGGUCCGCGCAUCUGCUAAGAUGCUGGCGUAAUGGCUGU